UCACCAAUAUAUACAUUAUUUUUUUAAUAAGACUCUACACAUUUUUUUUUUUUUUAAACAUUUGGACGAUGAUGAUUUUAAUUCUACUACUUACUCGAAUUGGAAUGAAUGUUGGGGACUAUUUUAAGCUGUGGAUUAAUACAUGUUUAGAGCUCUGAAUGCAACAGAAGAGGUAACUACGGUUAUUAGUAAAAUUCUAUACAGCACAGAGAAAUAAGAUAUAUCAGGCUUAGAAACAAUGUCUUUAUUGAACGAAUUGUUUUUUGAUAAUGCAAAUUACACCAACAUCAUCUUCUUUCUUCCCCCCAAGUAACUAAUUAGAGUGGACUGCACCACUAGUAGGGUAGCUCACAAUAAACACACAUGUAAACAGACAAUUUGGCAACACAGGUAAUUACAAUUUAUACAGUUUUGCUCACAUCAUGUAUACAAGGAGUUACAGUGUCAAACAUAUGUAACCACCAGUUUCAGAAAAGCACCUUUAAUCAAAAGCAGACAUACAUGUGUCCCCCCUCCUUACUUCAAACAUGGUAGAACCAGGAAGUAUAAAUAGAUAUGAGAUGGUUGGCAGAACCAUUUUGCCUGAGGACCAGAAAGAGGAUUAGUACCAAAGGAAUGCAACCUCUGUGAGAGUCAGAGUUUGAAAUGAUCAUGCACAUGUCGCUCAGUGAAUGAAGACCAGUGAAGUUCAUGAAAAUGGACCUGGGAAGUUCUGUGGCUCCAGCUAAACAGAAUGAAAGGUAUUCAGGAGGGAGAGGACAACGUCGCCCCACCGGACAAUUUACUGCCCUUCUCUGGGAAUUCCACAUGAUCCAGGUAUGGGAAUGGAGAAUGGGAAAAGCUGGAGCAGUGAACUCAUCCUGGCAGUUUUAUCUUGAUUGUCAGAUAAAAUGGUAUCUGCUGCUCUAAAUCUGUAUGAGACUCUUUAGCAAGAAGCACUUUAGCUCCUUCUCACGUUCUGGCUUCUGAUAAAAUAAAAAAAAUCGCACAAACACUGUGUCAUUAGCAAGGCCAA